rnacentral:tRNA from 1 species
UGGGGAGUCGUCUAACGGUAGGACACCUGACUCUGGAUCAGGCAGUUGGGGUUCGAAUCCCUGCUCCCCAGCCG